UGGCUCUCCUCUGUUUCAGUCCUCCCUGAAAUGAAUUUUUGGGCUGUCCUUCAGCUCAAUAUGCUCUUGUAAUUAUGCUGAUGUCAGCAGAGACGAAGCAGACCAAUGCCUGCCAUUGCCAUCUGUCCAGCGUGGUGAAAGCCACCCAGCUCCCUCUGGGCUACAUUCUACAGUGACUAUUUCUUUGCAUCUGGACUAGUGUCUUGUGGAAGAGUAAUGCUGUGCAGUGCUUCAGCUGGAGGCAUGGACAGGGCAGAGGAUGCUGGUAGAGCAGUGGAGGGGGGUAGAAGGCAAGAUUUAGGAGGUCAGAAGAUGUUCCUAUAAAUAUCGACCUGCCUUGUGUGGUAGAAGGAGCAGAUGCAUCAUUCCUGUGAAACACUGUUUCACAUGUGCCUCAACCAGCAGUGUGGGAUCAGCUUCUGUUUGCAAAGAGAGGAUCCUGCAAGAAUAGCAUUUGUAAGGUGAUUUUACCAAGGACAACACAUGGACAAGAGUGUGGUAUUGCAUCUGAGAGGUUCCUGCACUUACAGC